AUUGAACGCUGGCGGUAUGCUUAACACAUGCAAGUCGAACGGCAGCAUGGUAUGUAGCAAUACGUACUGAUGGCGAGUGGCGGACGGGUGAGUAACACGUAGGAAUCUACCCUAAAGCGGGGGAUAACCCGAGGAAACUCGGGCUAAUACCGCAUAAUUUCUGAGGAAAAAAGCUAGGUUUACCUGGCACUUUAGGAGGAGCCUGCGUCUGAUUAGCUAGUUGGUGGGGUAAAGGCCUACCAAGGCGACGAUCAGUAGGUGGUCUGAGAGGAUGAUCACCCACACUGGGACUGAGACACGGCCCAGACUCCUACGGGAGGCAGCAGUGGGGAGUAUUGGACAAUGGGGGCAACCCUGAUCCAGCAAUACCGCGUGUGUGAAGAAGGCCUUCGGGUUGUAAAGCACUUUAGGCUGGGAAGAAGGUUAUUAGUUUAAGAGAUGAAUAACUUGACGGUACCAGCAGAAUAAGCACCGGCUAACUCUGUGCCAGCCGCCGCUGUAA
rnacentral:rRNA from 1 species